UGAGGAAUAUUGGGCAAUGGACGGAAGUCUGACCCAGCCAUGCCGCGUGCAGGAUGACGGCCCUAUGGGUUGUAAACUGCUUUUAUGUAGGAAGAAACCCCUUUACGUGUAGAGGGCUGACGGUACUACUUGAAUAAGCAUCGGCUAACUCCGUGCCAGCAGCCGCGGUAAUACGGAGGAUGCAAGCGUUAUCCGGAUUCAUUGGGUUUAAAGGGUCCGUAGGCGGACUUUUAAGUCAGAGGUGAAAGCCUACAGCUCAACUGUAGAAUUGCCUUUGAUACUGGAAGUCUUGAGUACAAUUGAAGUGGGCGGAAUACGUCAUGUAGCGGUGAAAUGCAUAGAUAUGACGUAGAACACCGAUUGCGAAGGCAGCUCACUAAGUUGUAACUGACGCUGAGGGACGAAAGCGUGGGGAGCAAACAGG
rnacentral:rRNA from 1 species